rnacentral:lncRNA from 1 species
UUUGUAGUUCCCUUCGGUGACUUAUGGAAGCUUGACUACCGGACAUUUGAGAACUCCUUUAGAGCCCAGCUAUAGGUGUGCAGUGCACUUCGGCGACUUAUGGAAGCUUGACUACCGGACAUUUGAGAACUCCUCCAUAGUCCAGCUAUAGGUUUUCAGUGCCCUUCGGCGACUUAUGGAAGCUUCACUGGCCACAGACCACAAUUAAUUUCUCUGUCAGUUCUUUAUAACGUUUUGCAUCAAUAAAAAAAUUGCACCAUGCACUUUUGUCAAAUUUUUUGUGUGUGUAAUGUAUAGUCCAAGUCCAAAUAUAUAUCCAAAAUUCAGAAAGAUUGAAGCAAUCACUUUUACAAAUUUAGCCAAUACACAUCCAUACCCCUAUUGACAAGUCAAGAGAUGUUCCGAAAACUGUAAAUAUUACCUUUUUGCACUUGGCCUAAUCACUCAUUUCAAUUAUAAAAAUCAAUUUAAAUACAACAUCCAAAAAUUUAUUUCACCUCUCUUCUUUCAUUUCCACCCAAAAAAAAA